UACAGAGGUCUCAAGCGUUGUUCGGAUUCAUUGGGCGUAAAGGGUGCGUAGGCGGCGCGGUAAGUCGGGUGUGAAAUCUCGGGGCUUAACUCCGAAACUGCAUUCGAUACUGCCGUGCUUGAGGACUGGAGAGGAGACUGGAAUUUACGGUGUAGCGGUGAAAUGCGUAGAUAUCGUAAGGAAGACCAGUGGCGAAGGCGGGUCUCCGGACAGUUCCUGACGCUGAGGCACGAAGGCCAGGGGAGCAAACGGG
rnacentral:rRNA from 1 species